AUGGCUGCACAACCUCUAAGAAUGCUCAUGUGGAAUGUCAGUGGUCUGAAUAAUCCCGCACGUCACAAAGUAAUAUUCCAAACUGUGGUCAAGGCGGACCCUGGCAUUGUGUAUUUCUAUGAAACUAAAGUGGAGGUUGUAACAAGUGACAUUGUCAAGAAAUGCUUGGGUAAUAAAUGUUCGAACUUUCACUAUCUGCCGGCCUCGGGGACCCGUGGAGGAAUCCUGAUAGCUUGGGACCUGCAGUUGGUUAGUCCGUCGAAUCCUCACUGCAUCGAUAACACUUUAUCAGGGCCUGUCCAACCAAUGGGGGCUGAGCCGUGGUGGCUCACUGGGGUCUAUGGCCCGAACGUAGAGCUGAUGAAUAUACGCGAGCUGCAUGCGGAGCCGUGGAUGAUCGCCGACGACUUCAACCACCUUGUGAACUCGGAGGAUAAAAGCAACAACCAAGUCAAUCGAUGA
rnacentral:rRNA from 1 species